ensembl:lncRNA
AAGCAGCUGGCCCAAACGGAAUUUCCGCUCAUGUAUUGAGAUCAUGGCUGGAUUGUUUACGUCUAUCUUUAACGAGUCCCUUGCUCAGUCAGUCGUCCCUACAUGCUUUAAAAAAUCUAUCAUCAUUCCUGUACCAAAAAGCAACAAUCCAUUUUGCCUGAAUGAUUAUCGACCAGUGGCACUCACAUCACUAAUUAUGAAGGUUUUUGAAAAGCUUAUCAAGAACACCAUCUGCUCCUCUAUCCCUAACAACAUUGACCCACUCCAGUUUGCCUAUUGCCCUAAUAGGUCUACUGAGGAUACUGUCUCCCAUCUCCUGCACGCCACUCACACCCAAACCGAAAACAAUAAAGGGAAUUAUGUGAGGCUGCUAUUCAUAGAUUAUAGCUCAGCCUUUAACACUAUAGUCCCCCACAAUCUGGUCUCCAAGCUCAGAAACCUCGGACUGAAUGCCCCACUCUGUGACUGGGUUCUUGAUUUUCUAUCAUGCAGACCUCAGGUAGUGAGGGUGGGUCAGACCACCUCCAACAUCAUCACCCUGCGUACAGGAGCCCCACAAGGAUGUGUUUUGAGCCCGUUGCUCUACUCCCUCUACACAUAUGACUGUGUCCCCUCUCACACCUCCACUUCUGUCAUCAAGUUUGCUGAUGAUACAGUGGUUAUGGGCCUCAUCUCCAACAACAAUGAGGCUGCCUACCUUGAUGAGGUAGAAAGUCUGACAUCGUGGAGCCAAACAAACUGUCUCUUUCUGAAUGUCAGCAAAACCAAGGAGCUGGUUGUGGACUUUAGGAGGUGGCAGCAGCGGAUCUACACCCCACUCAUCAUUAACGGGACCCCAGUGGAGAGAGUGAGCAGCUUCAAAUACCUUGGCAUACACAUUUCCGAGGACCUGACCUGGACUAAUCACAAUCAAGUUCAAGUUAAAAAAGCCAGACAACGACUGUACCAUCUGAGACUCCCGAGAAAAUUCAAGGUUUCCCCUGGAAUCCAGAAAAUUUUCUAUAUCGGGACUAUAGAAAGUAUAUUGACUAGAUUUAAAAAACAAAGUAAAAAUGAAGAGUAUGCUACACCUGACACAGGUAACAAUUUACAUUAAUUCAUUCGUACCUUAUGCACCCAGCAUAUGCUGUUUUUUUUCAGCAAGGCAAGCAAACCGGGGAAACAUCCCUCUGAUGGGCCCACAAAAAGGCAGAAAUGAAGGGUGAAAAACAUUGCCAUCGGUCAACCAAACAUUGGUUGUAAUUCGUUUUGUGACGUACUGACUUCAGGUGUGUCAAAAGUAUGAAGUAAAACAAAAGUUAUCUAUAAAACUGGUCACAUAGAACAUAAAAAUUACAUAAAAUCAAACAAUGCUAGGUUUUUCCUUUAUUAUCAAACUCAAAGUAGGAACACAAAUAAUUUUUGUACCAAUAUUUAUUAUGUAUUUUCAAUUUAUUUUUUUCA